rnacentral:rRNA from 1 species
UACGUAGGGGGCUAGCGUUGUCCGGAAUCAUUGGGCGUAAAGCGCGUGUAGGCGGUCCGGUAAGUCCGCUGUGAAACCCCGGGGCUCAACCCCGGAACUGCAUCCGAUACUGCGUGGCUAGAGGUAGGUAGGGGAGAUCGGAAUUCCUGGUGUAGCGGUGAAAUGCGCAGAUAUCAGGAGGAACACCGGUGGCGAAGGCGGAUCUCUGGGCCUUACCUGACGCUCAGGCACGAAAGCGUGGGGAGCAAACAGG